rnacentral:rRNA from 1 species
GACGAACGCUGGCGGCGUGCCUAAUACAUGCGAGUUGAGCGCUGAAGGUUGGUCCUUGUACCAACUGGAUGAGCAGCGAACGGGUGAGUAACGCGUGGGGAAUCUGCCUUUGAGCGGGGGACAACAUUUGGAAACGAAUGCUAAUACCGCAUAAAAACUUUAAACACAAGUUUUAAGUUUGAAAGAUGCAAUUGCAUCACUCAAAGAUGAUCCCGCGUUGUAUUAGCUAGUUGGUGAGGUAAAGGCUCACCAAGGCGAUGAUACAUAGCCGACCUGAGAGGGUGAACGGCCACCUUGGGACUGAGACACGGCACAAACUCCUACGGGAGGCAGCAGUAGGGAAUCUUCGGCAAUGGACGGAAGUCUGACCGAGCAACGCCGCGUGAGUGAAGAAGGUUGUCGGAUCGUAAAACUCUGUUGGUAGAGAAGAACGUUGGUGAGAGUGGAAAGCUCAUCAAGUGACGGUAACUACUCAGAAAGGGACGGCUAACUACGUG